rnacentral:rRNA from 1 species
AUAUCACUAAGCGGAGGAAAAGAAAUUAACUAAGAUUGCCUCAGUAACGGCGAGUGAACCGGCAAGAGCCCAAACUGGAAAUCUUCACACUUCGUGUGACGAAUUGUAAUCUAAAGGUGGUUUGCUCACCGGACGGUGGCGCAGAAGUAUAUUGAAAGAUACGCCAUAGAGGGUGACAGCCCCGUAUGUGGUGCCACUGUCUAACGAGCAGGCUUCCAAAGAGUCGGGUUGUUUUGUAUUGCAGCCCUAAGCGGGAGAUAAACUUCUUCUAAGGCUAAAUAUAUAUGGGAGACCGAUAGCGCACAAGUA